UUUGCUCUUCAUUUCAACAUGUCUUUUCCUCUUACUCUUUGUGAUUUUCACUUGAUCCUUUUGAGUUUUGAUUCCAAAGUUCUUAAGAGACAGAGAUCCUAUUGGCUGGUGCAAGACCAUAGCAGUUGUGUGUGUGUGUGUGUGUGUGUGUGAGAGAGAGAGAGAGAGAGAGAGGGAGAGGGAGAGGGAGAGGGAGAGGGAGAGGGAGAGGGAGGAGAGGGAGAGGGAGAGGGAGAGGGAGAGGGAGAGGGAGAGCGCUGAGUCACUGUCUCCCAUUUCUGGCUUCGCUUCUCACAUCCACAACCCAUGUGCUCUACUUCCAUUUUUUCCUCUCAUUCCUGUUCCAAGCACAUCUGAAGGUCAAAAGGAGCAUCUCGGAAUCCUCAAGAAACAAGAAGAAAACACACUUGGAUUUUCAAAUAUCUCGAUAUUUUAACUGUGUUUUUUAAAAAAGGAUAAACAGCUCUUUUAAUCAGAAAAAGUUCAGGCAUUAUAGUAUAAAUGAAAGAAUCUCAGUCAAAAAAGCUCAACAUUUGACUAUCUGGACAGCAAUAGAGCAUGCACUCAAAGUGAAAAGAAAAUGACAUGAUGCUUAAACAAUGUUUUAAAGUCCCCCCUGCCACCCAUUUUAGGGGGAGGGGGCAUGGGGAGGAGCUUGGAUGAUGAAAGUAAGAGCAUCCCAAGGGUGGAUGAAGACAUUAAAAGGCCCUCCAGACUAAGACUCCACCAUGAGCACCUUUCACCUUGCACUUCCCCGACCCUGCUUCCCUUGUCCAGGACUACCAACAGGAUGCUGGACCAGGCUGAGCUGGACAGCCAUAGCCAGGUAGCCAGUUGGAUCCCUCUCCAGUGAUAACAAAGGUCUGGAGUCUCAGAGGGCUUUUCCUAGGACAAGACGUACCUCCAGAUCAAGAAAUUAUUUCAGCUGUGGCAUGAUCAACAAGUUCUGGAGCGGAAGGAAACCUUUCUAAACCACAAAUAACAAAAAACAUCUAUCUAUUAUGUCAGAAGACAAAGUUGUCUUUCUAUUCUCUGUACAUAAAAUGGCAUUGUAAAAUUUUUACCAUGUGAAAAAAGAUCAAUGAGUAUAACGCCAAAAAUAUAGGGAAAAGAUGUAUUACAUAGAUGGGUCAGCACUUAAGUUGUAAUUGUAGCAAAAAUUGUUAAUUAAAAC
rnacentral:lncRNA from 9 species